CCACGCGGUUUCUCCACUGUUGUUUUUUCAUUGGUUGUUUCAUGUUCUAACUUCUACUGUGUUGUGUUGUGUCUUAAAUAGUAGUAGUAAAGUCAUCCCCAACGGAGGUUUUAAGGGGGAGGUUUUAAGAAAAAGUAGGAAAAAAAUAAAUCAGAAAGGAAAAAAAAAGAAGAAGAGCUCUUCUUAUUUAGUAUACUCGAUUUUAGAUUAGAGACUGUGACGUGUUGGCGCAUGGUUGGGUAAAAUUUUUUAUUGAGAGCAAUUUUUUUUUUUGGCAUUGUGUUCUUUCUCUUCCUCUCUCUUUCGCAAAUCUCUUUGGAGGAGAUUUAAUCGGUUGAAAUCGUUGGACCGUGGAGCUGGGAUCUAUGCUGUUCCCGGAUUGAAUCCUGGUCAGUAUGAGGAACACAUGAACCGUGGAGCUGGGAUCUAUGUUGUUCCUGUGCAUCAAUUUGGAGGACAUCUCGCUGGUCUUCUUCAAAUUAUCUUAUCCCUCUCACUUACAAUGUUUCCAUCACUAGGCAUCGCACCUUGCGAUUUUGGAGGAUAAAGAAGCAGAGAAAGAGGGUGAUGGUUCGAGGAGAGGGCUUCGAUUCCCUGCAAAUUCUCCAUUGGGUUUAACCAUGGUAUCUCUGACUUUAAUCUCUCAUUGAUUGUUAUCUUCUUCUGAUUAUUGCUUUCGAUUCUCUGAGUUUUGUUCAUCUCUUGUUGAUUGUGUCUGCCUGUGUAACCAACCAAGCUCCACCUUCUAAUAUGCGUUAGUUAUGAGAUUCCUGUAUGACUUGGAGAAACAAAGAGUUUUGGAGUCAGUUUUGAUAUCUUUAGUUGUGCAAUGUAGCAACCAUGCGCCUCGUGCUGAGUUUCUUCUCUUUGCAUUGCGUACAUUGUGUAGGAUUAGUUAUAUCAAUUGGGAUACUUUUUUACCAUCCCUUCUCUCUUCGGUUUCUGCUGCUGGCAGAGAGAUCCAUCACAUUUGCAUGCUCAAUGUUUCUGAGCUGCUUUGUGGGAUGAUGGUGAGAUAUAAGCAGAGAGUGAAUACUCUGGAUUUCGUUUUUAUUUUCCCGAUUUGUCCACUUAAACGGUUUAAGCAGCCUUGUUUGAUUGUUCAUUUUCAUAAUCUGUCCAAAGAUAUUAACUCACGGUAGCUUGGAUCUGAGCUUUUUUUUUUGUUUGUUUGUUUCCUGCGUCUUUUUGUACAACCUUAUUUCAAUUUUGAGAUUAUUACUUAUAACAGUUGCUCUGUAGAAUGUGCUGCGAUAGCUUAACUUAUAUAGCCUGUGAUGUUUUCUUAUUCAAUCUCUAGGUAAAGUUUUCGAUUAGUUUGUGUUGUGACAUACCAUAUAUAUAUAUCCAGUAUGCUUUUUAGGUUCUGUGACUUAUAUGUUGAGACUGACUUGAGAGGAAUGUGCUUAAACCCUUUGUGAAAUAUUAUGGUCUAAGGGCUUUUCUUUGUGUACUUACCUUCAGAUUGUUCAAUGCUCUGUUAUGCAAAUCUGUGUUUUGUUGCAGACUAUAUCCGCUGGAACAGUCAUAUUAUGAUGGAUGUGUCCACUAAAGUUGUUUUUGCAUUGACCAUCUUUAAAUCUGAGCUUCUCUUAUGCAGAAAUCUAGACAUGUAUUGUUAUUCAGGUUUUCAUUCCUCUUUCCUUCUUGGAUCUUCUGCAAUAGACAUGUACUAAAGUAGUUAAAGCUGAAAACAGGAAAAGAUGAUGGUUCAGUGCAGCAAGAUUUGAGAGGUCUUGCACUUAUCGAUUCCGGAAGAGCUGCUUCAGUGAGUUUGUGGCUGCCCUUUAAAAGUGGCAGAGCAGUUCUGAGCAGCACCAAGAUUUGUGGUUGUCCUGUCUUUCAUGCAUGAAUCUUUUCUCAUUCGUUACUUUUACUUGGUGAUGUGUUUGACAGAUUUCUGUGUCUCAGCUGCAUGCAGUAUUAUUACAUGCUUUUGGGUCUCUCGUUCAGUUGGGUGUAGGGUUUAAAGAGUGAGGGUUGAUGGAGAAGUAUUCAUUGAUAUUACAUCCACUGCUUUUCUUUUCUCUAAUUCAUUCUUGUUGAUCAUUUUCACUUUUGGAGGACACAAUUUGGAGGAUACAGUUAAUCAUUUUCACUUUUUAUGAUUUGUACUUCUAUUU